GGGUGCGUAACGCGUAUGCAAUCUACCUUUUACAGGGGAAUAGCCCAGAGAAAUUUGGAUUAAUGCCCCAUAGUAUAAUUGAAUGGCAUCAUUUAAUUAUUAAAGUCACAACGGUAAAAGAUGAGCAUGCGUCCCAUUAGUUAGUUGGUAAGGUAACGGCUUACCAAGACAAUGAUGGGUAGGGGUCCUGAGAGGGAGAUCCCCCACACUGGUACUGAGACACGGACCAGACUCCUACGGGAGGCAGCAGUGAGGAAUAUUGGACAAUGGGCGCAAGCCUGAUCCAGCCAUGCCGCGUGCAGGAAGACGGUCCUAUGGAUUGUAAACUGCUUUUAUACAGGAAGAAACACUCCGACGUGUCGGAGCUUGACGGUACUGUAGGAAUAAGGAUCGGCUAACUCCGUGCCAGCAGCCGCGGUAAUACGGAGGAUCCAAGCGUUAUCCGGAAUCAU
rnacentral:rRNA from 1 species